rnacentral:rRNA from 1 species
GACGAACGCUGGCGGCGUGCUUAACACAUGCAAGUCGAACGAAAAGAGGGAAAGAGCUUGCUCUUUCCGGAAUUGAGUGGCAAACGGGUGAGUAACACGUAAACAACCUGCCUUCAGGAUGGGGACAACAGACGGAAACGACUGCUAAUACCGAAUAAGUUCCAAGAGCCGCAUGGCCCAUGGAAGAAAAGGUGGCCUCUACCUGUAAGCUAUCGCCUGAAGAGGGGUUUGCGUCUGAUUAGCUGGUUGGAGGGGUAACGGCCCACCAAGGCGACGAUCAGUAGCCGGUCUGAGAGGAUGAACGGCCACACUGGAACUGAGACACGGUCCAGACUCCUACGGGAGGCAGCAGUGGGGAAUCUUCCGCAAUGGGCGAAAGCCUGACGGAGCAACGCCGCGUGAGUGAUGACGGCCUUCGGGUUGUAAAACUCUGUGAUCCGGGACGAAAAGGCAGAGUGCGAAGAACAAACUGCAUUGACGGUACCGGAAAAGCAAGCCACGGCUAACUACGUGCCAGCAGCCGCGGUAAUACGUAGGUGGCAAGCGUUGUCCGGAAUUAUUGGGCGUAAAGCGCGCGCGGGCGGCUUCCCAAGUCCCUCUUAAAAGUGCGGGGCUUAACCCCGUGAUGGGAAGGAAACUGGGAAGCUGGAGUAUCGGAGAGGAAAGUGGAAUUCCUAGUGUAGCGGUGAAAUGCGUAGAGAUUGGGAAGAACACCGGUGGCGAAGGCGACUUUCUGGACGAA